rnacentral:rRNA from 1 species
AUUGAACGCUGGCGACAUGCUUUACACAUGCAAGUCGAACGGUAACAGGCCGCAAGGUGCUGACGAGUGGCGAACGGGUGAGUAAUGCAUCGGAACGUGCCCAGUCGUGGGGGAUAACGCAGCGAAAGCUGCGCUAAUACCGCAUACGAUCUGUGGAUGAAAGCGGGGGACCGUAAGGCCUCGCGCGAUUGGAGCGGCCGAUGUCAGAUUAGGUAGUUGGUGGGGUAAAGGCUCACCAAGCCGACGAUCUGUAGCUGGUCUGAGAGGACGACCAGCCACACUGGGACUGAGACACGGCCCAGACUCCUACGGGAGGCAGCAGUGGGGAAUUUUGGACAAUGGGCGCAAGCCUGAUUCAGCAAUGCCGCGUGCAGGAAGAAGGCCUUCGGGUUGUAAACUGCUUUUGUACGGAACGAAAAGGCUCUGGUUAAUACCUGGGGCUCAUGACGGUACCGUAAGAAUAAGCACCGGCUAACUACGUGCCAGCCGCCGCGGUAAGAC